rnacentral:rRNA from 1 species
CUGCUAUUUGGGUGAGGAUAAGCCAUGCGAGUUGGAUGGGAUACCUAAACUUCCCAUAGCAAACUGCUUAGUAACACAUGAUCAACUUGCCCUAUGGAGAAAAAUAACCUCGGGAAACUGAGGAUAAUGUUUCAUAGUUGAAUAGGCUUGGAAAAGUUUUUCAAUGAAAGGAAUAAGAUAAAUGGUUCUUAUUUGCCAUAGGAUAGGAUCGUGGUCGAUUAUGGUAGUUGGUGAGAUAACGGCUCACCAAGCCGAUAAUCGAUAGGGGCCGUGAGAGCGGGAGCCCCAAGAUGGGUACUGAGACAGCGACCCAGGCCUUACGAGGCGCAGCAGGCGCGAGACCUCCGCAAUACACGGAAGUGUGACGGGGUUACCCAAAGUGUUCUCUUAAGAACUGUGGUAGGUGAGUAAUGUCCCCUGCUAGAAAGGAGAGGGCAAGGCUGGUGCCAGCCGCCGCGGUAAAACCAGCUCUUCAAGUGGUCGGGAUAAUUAUUGGGCUUAAAGUGUCCGUAGCCGGUUUAGUAAGUUCCUGGUAAAAUCGGGUAGCUUAACUAUCUGCAUGCUAGGAAUACUGCUAUACUAGAGGGCGGGAGAGGUCUGAGGUACUACAGGGGUAGGGGUGAAAUCUUAUAAUCCUUGUAGGACCACCAGUGGCGAAGGCGUCAGACUGGAACGCGCCUGACGGUGAGGGACGAAAGCCAGGGGAGCGAACCGGAUUAGAUACCCGGGUAGUCCUGGCCGUAAACGAUGCAUACUAGGUGAUGGUACGGCCAUGAGCCGUAUCAGUGCCGUAGGGAAACCGUUAAGUGUGCCGCCUGGGAAGUACGGUCGCAAGGCUAAAACUUAAAGGAAUUGGCGGGGGAGCACCACAAGGGGUGAAGCCUGCGGUUCAAUUGGACUCAACGCCGGGAAACUUACCAGGGGAGACAGUAGAAUGACGGUCAGGUUGACGACCUUACCUGAUGAGCUGAGAGGAGGUGCAUGGCCGUCGCCAGUUCGUGCUGUGAGGUAUCCUGUUAAGUCAGGCAACGAACGAGAUCCGCGCCUUUAUUUGCCAACAAGAAGUUACGACUUCGUUGGGAACACUAAAGGGACCGCCGUCGAUAAGACGGAGGAAGGAGCGGGCAAAGGCAGGUCAGUAUGCCCCGAAACCCCUGGGCUACACGCGGGCUGCAAUGGUAUGAACAAUGGGCUGUAACUCCGAAAGGAGAAACCAAUCCCGAAAUCAUAUCACAGUGGGGAUUGUUGGCUGUAACCCGCCGACAUGAACGUGGAAUCCCUAGUAAUCGUGUGUCAUCAUCGCACGGUGAAUACGUCUCUGCUCCUUGCACACACCGCCCGUCGCU